UGGGGGAUAUUGCACAAUGGGCGAAAGCCUGUUGCAGCGACGCCGCGUGGGGGAUGAAGGCCUUCGGGUUGUAAACUUCUUUUGCUCUGAACAAGGCAUGCCUUUGGGGUGUGUUGAGUGUAGGGGUUGAUUAGCGCCGGCUAACUACGUGCCAGCAGCCGCGGUAAUACGUAGGGCGCGAGCGUUGUCCGGAAUUAUUGGGCGUAUAGGGCUUGUAGGUGGCUGGUUGCGUCUGUCGUGAAAGCUCAUGGCUUAACUGUGGGUUUGCGGUGGGUACGGGCUGGCUUGAGUGCAGUAGGGGAGGCUGGAAUUCCUGGUGUAGCGGUGGAAUGCGCAGAUAUCAGGAGGAAUACCGGUGGCGAAGGCGGGUCUCUGGGCUGUUACUGACGCUGAGGAGCGAAAGCGUGGGGAGCGAACAGG
rnacentral:rRNA from 1 species